GACGAACGCUGGCGGCGUGCUUAACACAUGCAAGUCGAACGGAAAGGCCCUGCUUUUGUGGGGUGCUCGAGUGGCGAACGGGUGAGUAACACGUGAGUAACCUGCCCUUGACUUUGGGAUAACUUCAGGAAACUGGGGCUAAUACCGGAUAGGAGCUCCUGCUGCAUGGUGGGGGUUGGAAAGUUUCGGCGGUUGGGGAUGGACUCGCGGCUUAUCAGCUUGUUGGUGGGGUAGUGGCUUACCAAGGCUUUGACGGGUAGCCGGCCUGAGAGGGUGACCGGCCACAUUGGGACUGAGAUACGGCACAGACUCCUACGGGACGCAGCAGUGGGGAAUAUUGCACAAUGGGCGGAAGCCUGAUGCAGCACCGCCGCGUGCGGGAUGACGGCCUUCGGGUUGUAAACCGCUUUCGCCUGUGACGAAGCGUGAGUGACGGUAAUGGGUAAAGAAGCACCGGCUAACUACGUG
rnacentral:rRNA from 1 species